rnacentral:rRNA from 1 species
CCUACGGGAGGCAGCAGUGAGGAAUCUUCGUCAAUGGACGAGAGUCUGAACCAGCCAAGUAGCGUGAAGGAUGAAUGCUCUAUGGGUGGUAAACUUCUUUUAUAAAGGAAUAAAACGAGGCACGUGUGCCUUUUUGCAUGUACUUUAUGAAUAAGGAUCGGCUAACUACGUGCCAGCAGCCGCGGUAAUACGGAGGAUCCGAGCGUUGUCCGGAUUUAUUGGGUUUAAAGGGAGCGUAGAUGGGUUGUUAAGUCAGUUGUGAAAGUUUGCGGCUCAACCGGAAAAUUGCAAUGGAUACUGGCAGUCUUGAGUACAGUUGAGGUAGGUGGAAUUCGUGGUGUAGCGGUGAAAUGCUUAGAUAUCACGAAGAACCCCGAUUGCGAAGGCAGCUUACUAAACUGUGACUGACAUUGAUGCUCGAAAGUGUGGGUAUCAAACAGGAUUAGAUACCCUAGUAGUC